GACGAACGCUGGCGGCGUGCCUAAUACAUGCAAGUUGAGCGCUGAAGGUUGGUCCUUGUACCAACUGGAUGAGCAGCGAACGGGUGAGUAACGCGUGGGGAAUCUGCCUUUGAGCGGGGGACAACAUGUGGAAACGAAUGCUAAUACCGCAUAAAAACUUUAAACACAAGUUUUAAGUUUGAAAGAUGCAAUUGCAUCACUCAAAGAUGAUCCCGCGUUGUAUUAGCUAGUUGGUGAGGUAAAGGCUCACCAAGGCGAGGAUACAUAGCCGACCUGAGAGGGUGAUCGGCCACAGUGGGACUGAGACACGGCCCAAACGCCUACGGGAGGCAGCAGUAGGGAAUCUUCGGCAAUGGACGAAAGUCUGACCGAGCAACGCCGAGUGAGGGAAGAAGGUUUUCGGAUCGUAAAACUCUGUUGGUAGAGAAGAACGUUGGUGAGAGUGGAAAGCUCAUCAAGUGACGGUAACUACCCAGAAAGGGACGGCUAACUACGUG
rnacentral:rRNA from 1 species